rnacentral:antisense_RNA from 1 species
GAACCCGAGAGGCGGAGCUUGCAGUGAGCCGAGAUCACGCCACUGCACUGCAGCCUGGGUGACAGAGCGAGACUCCGUCUCAAAAAAAGAAAAAAAAAAGAAAAGAAAAGAAAAGAUAAAAUUACCAGAAAAUAUUAAACAGGCAGCACUGAGGAGUAAAGGAAUAUUUGGGAGGAUCAGAAGCUUGGUCCUGAUUUUGCCAUCAACCAGGACCUUGAUGACUUCAAGGGAGUCCCCAAACCCUGGGUUUCUGUUUUCUCAACUCUAACAUGAGGGGCUAGACGCAUCUGGUUUAGUUCGUCUCCAUGAUCCUGUGAAUUUCAGAUGUUGAAAAUCUUCAGAAAAGCCCUGAAAGAUGAAGAGUGGUCUCAAAUAGUCAAGACCCCCUGCUGGGGGGAGCGUCUAUCCUGCUCUGUGGAA